AUUGCAGGUGAUUGACUUGAAUUAAUUCUUAUUAAAUAAGCAAUCCAAGUCUCAAAAGGAAUUAUGUUUAACUAUGUGCUAGCAAUAUUCCCUUAAACCCAAUAGGAUUUCUCCUAAUCUAAUUGCAACUUCAUAAGCCUAAUUCUUUAUUUCAGGUCAAAUCCCUUUAUUGUGUGACUCCAUAGGUUCAAUUUUAUCUAAUAGUGAGAUAUACCUUGAUCUCUAUCAUAGUAUCAUUGAAACUCUUUUCAAUGGAUCAGAAUAAUUUUACUCUAACUCAACAA
rnacentral:lncRNA from 1 species